rnacentral:ribozyme from 12 species
CGAAAGAAAGAAAGUUUUAUCCAACCCACCAAAAAUGUGGGAGAGAGGGGUUUUUUACAUCUUUGCUGUGGUGUUGUCAAUCGUCUUGUUUUUUUUUAAAUUUAUCUUUCCUGUUUGUUAAAUGCUUU